rnacentral:rRNA from 1 species
GAAAGGAGUAAUCCGGUGGCGGCUGGGCAUGCGGCGCAUUAGCUUGACGGCGGGGUAACGGCCCACCGUGGCGACGAUGCGUAGGGGUUCUGAGAGGAAGGCCCCCCACACUGGAACUGAGACACGGUCCAGACUCCUACGGGAGGCAGCAGUGAGGAAUAUUGGUCAAUGGGCGGAAGCCUGAACCAGCCAAGUCGCGUGAGGGAAUAAGGCCCUACGGGUCGUAAACCUCUUUUGCCGGGGAGCAAGGGCCGGGACGAGUCCCGGUCCGGAGAGUACCCGGAGAAAAAGCAUCGGCUAACUCCGUGCCAGCAGCCGCGGUAAUACGGAGGAUGCGAGCGUUAUCCGGAUUUAUUGGGUUUAAAGGGUGCGUAGGCGGGCUUUUAAGUCAGCGGUAAAAAUUCGGGGCUCAACCCCGUCCGGCCGUUGAAACUGGGGGUCUUGAGUGGGCGAGAAGAAGGCGGAAUGCGUGGUGUAGCGGUGAAAUGCAUAGAUAUCACGCAGAACCCCGAUUGCGAAGGCAGCCUUCCGGCGCCCUACUGACGCUGAGGCACGAAAGUGCGGGGAUCGAACAGGAUUAGAUACCCUGGUAGUCCGCACAGUAAACGAUGGAUGCCAGCUGUCCGGGCCGAAUGGGGCCUGG